CCCAGAAUAAAUUUUAUUAACAUCUGUUCUUACUUUCUUUAUUCCAUUUGAGUAGGACCAUAGGGAAGCAUUUACUCUUGAGUAAAGAGAAGGAAGGAUAGGAAUAAUAUAAGUAAAGUAUACACACAUGUCAGAGGUUCCUAGCCAUGCUCAGUCUGAAUAUGACAAUCAUUGUCACCUUGACCGGUUUGGAAUUAUCUAGGAGACACGUAGCUGCCUCUCUGGCUUGUGAAACAGAGUGUGAAGCAAGGCCUGAAGAAUAUACCAAUCAGAUAAAAGGAAAAUAAUAUGAAAUAAUAAGAUAAAAGUUGCUGCUAAUAUU
rnacentral:lncRNA from 1 species